UUAUUUUCGGUGUUUUCACAGUUCCAAGUCUCCAAAGGUUGGAGAAUGUAUCCAUCCGCCAGCGCACAGGGACGGGAUACAGAUCCAAAGGUGAGGCGGAAGAACACAAGACGUUGGAGGGAGGCAGGUAAACAGGUACUCAGACAGAAGACGGAGGAGCAGCUAAUUAAGAGAAGAAACUGAUCUCAGUUUCUGUUUGGCUCUGGAUUAUCUCUGCACUGCAGGACCUGCAGUCACUGGCAGCAUCCUUCCUCAUCUGUCUUUUAACAAAACACGUCCCAGAAAGGAUCGAGAGCAAACAGAGGAGACGCCAGCCGGCGAGAGGA